AGGUUAAGCUAGAAAGGGCGCACGGUGGAUGCCUUGGCACUAGGAGCCGAAGAAGGACGGGACGAACACCGAUAUGCCUCGGGGAGCUGUAAGUAAGCAUUGAUCCGGGGAUUUCCGAAUGGGGGAACCCACCAUCCGUAAUGGGAUGGUAUCCAUAUCUGAAUACAUAGGGUAUGAGAAGGCAGACCCGGGGAACUGAAACAUCUAAGUACCCGGAGGAAGAGAAAGCAAAUGCGAUUUCCUGAGUAGCGGCGAGCGAAACGGAAUCAGCCCAAACCAGAGAGCUUGCUCUCUGGGGUUGUAGGACACUCUAUACGGAGUUACAAAGGAACGAAGUAGGUGAAGUGGUCUGGAAAGGCCAGCCGAAGAAGGUAACAGCCCUGUAGCUGAAACUUCGUUCCCUCCUGAGUGGAUCCUGAGUACGGCGGGACACGUGAAACCCCGUCGGAAUCCGGGAGGACCAUCUCCCAAGGCUAAAUACUCCCUAGUGACCGAUAGUGAACCAGUACCGUGAGGGAAAGGUGAAAAGCACCCCGGAAGGGGAGUGAAACAGAUCCUGAAACCGUGUGCCUACAAGUAGUCGGAGCCCAUUAACGGGUGACGGCGUGCCUUUUGUAGAAUGAACCGGCGAGUUACGAUCCCGUGCAAGGUUAAGUUGAUAAGACGGAGCCGCAGCGAAAGCGAGUCUGAAUAGGGCGACAUAGUACGUGGUCGUAGACCCGAAACCGUGUGAUCUACCCAUGUCCAGGGUGAAGUUCAGGUAACACUGAAUGGAGGCCCGAACCCACGCACGUUGAAAAGUGCGGGGAUGAGGUGUGGGUAGGGGUGAAAUGCCAAUCGAACACGGAGAUAGCUGGUUCUCCCCGAAAUAGCUUUAGGGCUAGCCUCGCGGCAAGAUUCCUGGAGGUAGAGCACUGAUUGGACUAGGGGCCCCCACAGGGUUACCGAAUUCAGUCAAACUCCGAAUGCCAGAGAAUUAUCCGCGGGAGUCAGACUGCGAGUGAUAAGAUCCGUAGUCAAAAGGGAAACAGCCCAGACCAUCAGCUAAGGUCCCAAAGUAUACGUUAAGUGGCAAAGGAUGUGGAGUUGCCCAGACAACCAGGAUGUUGGCUUAGAAGCAGCCACCAUUUAAAGAGUGCGUAAUAGCUCACUGGUCGAGUGACUCUGCGCCGAAAAUGUAACGGGGCUAAACGUAUCACCGAAGCUAUGGCUUGUACCGUAUGGUACAGGGGUAGGGGAGCGUUCGAAGUGCAGCGAAGUCAGACCGGAAGGACUGGUGGAGCGCUUUGAAGUGAGAAUGCCGGUAUGAGUAGCGAAAGACAAGUGAGAAUCUUGUCCAUCGAAAGCCUAAGGUUUCCUGAGGAAGGCUCGUCCGCUCAGGGUUAGUCGGGGCCUAAGCCGAGGCUGAAAAGCGUAGGCGAUGGAUAACAGGUUGAUAUUCCUGUACCACCUCCUUUCCGUUUGAACAAUGGGGGGACGCAGUAAGGUAGGGUGAGCGCACUGAUGGAAUAGUGCGUCUAAGCAGUUAGGCUGUUGGGUAGGCAAAUCCGCCCAACGUGAAGGCUGAGCUGUGAUGGCGAGGGAAAUUUUAGUACCGAAGUCCCUGAUCCUACACUGCCAAGAAAAGCCUCUAGUGAGGAAAGAGGUGCCCGUACCGCAAACCGACACAGGUAGGCGAGGAGAGAAUCCUAAGAUGAUCGGGAGAACUCUCGUUAAGGAACUCGGCAAAAUGACCCCGUAACUUCGGGAGAAGGGGUGCUCUGAUAGGGUUUAUCGCCCGAGAGAGCCGCAGUGAAUAGAUCCAAGCGACUGUUUAGCAAAAACACAGGUCUCUGCGAAACCGCAAGGUGAAGUAUAGGGGCUGACACCUGCCCGGUGCUGGAAGGUUAAGAGGAGGGGUUAUCCUU
rnacentral:rRNA from 1 species